ensembl:lncRNA
UUCACGCCAAGUGUCAACCCACCACAGCUGUGUUUCAAAACCAGUGCACAAGUGCCUUAAAAUGCAGCUCCCCUUACGGCCGCUAUAUGGCUUUAAUUGCUUUAACAGUAAUAAGGAAUACACCAAACGUCCCUCUAAAAAUUCAAGUUAAAGUUGUGUGUUUUUCCGCAAGAAUUUGCUCUAUAUGAAUCUAUUCCAAUGUGUGCCUUAUUGGCAAUAAUUAAGAUCAGAUCAGAUCGAGUUAAAUUUAUCUUUAUUGUAAUUGCACAGAGCAAGUACCAGAAAAGUAAAAUGUGAUUUAUCAUCUAGUGCAAAGAUAUUGAGACUUUUAGCGUAACCAGAUUACCAAAAAAAAAAAACUAUUCUAAUCGAAUCCGCCGGAUAUAGUUUUAGUCACUCAACUAUAUAGUGUAGUUUAUUUCUUUUGACCCCCCGAUCCACUGUAAGCACAUGGGAUUUAAUUAGUUAUGCUCACAUUAUUGAGAGUUUGAUAAGGAGGAUGGUGUGUAUAUAGAAGGAAAAGCUGCUUUUGAUUAUUUUUGAGUGUUUGUUUCAUGUUCUCGCACCACAAAUGAUAUCCCAGGCUAAACUGAGUAUGUUUGUAGCCUUCUUUCUUUCUUUGAAAAAUGUCUGGACCUUUCACUGUCACUUCUGUUGAUUACAUUAUGGAAAGGUUGCUCUACAGUGUCUGUAUUUGUAUGUGCUUGCGUUGAGCAUUCAAACAUAGGCUUUGAAAUGUCUCUUCAGAAACACAUGGCUGAGGCUAAGGGAAUGGCCCUGUUUCGCUAUAGUCUCUGGCCCAGUUUUUAAAAAAUACAAUGAAAAGACAAGUGUAACCUGAGCAGGAAGCUCUAAAAACAUUUGUUUCCACGUGUAUAGGAAAAAUCUAUAGGAAAGAUAUGAGACAAUGUUAAAGAUCGACUGUUUUUAAAGGUCUCAAAUUCCCUGAUCUUAAAGACCUCUGGAUUUUUUUUUUCUGUUUUGACGCACCUGUCAUAGUCUGCAUUUGUGUGCUUCUUGUUAGACAAAGUUGUUAUAUUAUUGUUAAUAUUGACAAAAGGCAGAGAUUGUAUUUGUUGGAAGCUGCUGCUUGAAUGCCCUUAAGCCUUAUGAGAAGUGAAUAGCAAUGAAGUCAAAUUCGCAUCCAACUCCAAUAAGACCAGCAAGAACAAUUAAACAGUCUGGAGAGGAAAAAAAAGAAUGGCUAAUAACUCCAAUAUUAAGAGGAACACAUAAUAAAGCAAUUGUGUUCUUGGUACCAAAAUAUUUACCACGCCUGAUGUGUUUGCUGCUGGAAUCGUCUUUCAUAAGCAUUGAACUGUUGAUGGAAAUGGCAAAUCUGGGUUUGGACCAUAGACUUGUUCUAUGGGUUGAACUUGGACGAAGUACAUGUUUGCAGCCAUGUAUAGACAACAAAACUACUCGUUAAGUGUUUUGAACUGUGGUGUUUCAGAAAGGAUAACUUAACCCUUUUUUUCUUUAAGUGUUGACUUUUUUUUUUAAAAGGGAAAAAAAUAAAUCUAAAGAUCAUAGCUAACCCUCGGGGGGCUUUGAGUCCCCAAUCCAACAUUAUUAUGCUGUUGUGCAAUGUCUGGUUCCAAUGGAAAUGCAUCCCUGUUUUGUAUCGUAAUGGGAAUGAGCAGAUAGGAAGCACAGUGUGGUUGUACAAUAUUAAACAGAAAGGAAAUUCAUGCAGGUCUCUACUGAUUAAUGGCCAGGGCUUUUAUUGUUGAGGAAGAAAAAAAACCAUGGUUGAAGAAGAGACAAGUAAAGAAUAGUUUAUUUUGGGAGCAUUUAACUAAACUGUUCUGUCUAUUUCUGGGCUUGACCAUCAUCAACAUCUGGAUUCCAGUUCCUAGUGAGCCUCUUGACCUGCUCUAAGAUUUAGCUUAUUCUUGUCCAAGCCCAAAUCUGACACACCGUUAUCUUCUGUCCAUGGCAAGUAGGGGCAUCAGCUCAUGUUCCGCAAGUGUACCUGUCCAUCGUCUACCCACUCAACAGUAGGUGGCACUCUGAGAGUCGGACUCAUCGGUUCCUCUAAUUCCCCUUAAACCAGUUGAGUUGGUGCUGAAUCUCAAAGCCCUUUGUUUUCCUGUUUUACUGAACCAGCUUGUAUCUUUUUUUUUCCUUGAAAGCAAAACUCUUUGAAAAUAGUUGUUGUAGAAAUAAGCUUUGUAAGGCAGCUUGUUACCCAGCUUGAAAUCCCAGGGUUAAACCAGAUGAUAAUCUGGGACAAUGUGGGUGAUGAAGCUGUCGACCCAAAAUUGUUUGUUGUUCUGUGAUCAUUUUAAUAGAGAAGGACUAUGAAUCCCUCACUGUGUGCAGUCUCUAGACUGUAAUGUUCCCAGUUUACCCAAAGUUACGCCCCUGCUGACAACACACUGGAUACUUGUAUAUAUGUUUAGUUUGUUUCCAAUGCAUUUCUCCUUUCAGACUGUUGUCUCCAUAGUUUGACACUAGAAUCUCUCCUUCUUGCCUUUCCCCAUAUAAAUCUGAUUACCUGAUGGUGGGUUGUGAUGUUGCCUAGAAUGAUUGUUUACAAUUUUAUUCCAUUUAUCUCUGGAUAUUCUGUAAAUAUUGUAAUUCAUUGUCUUUUUUUAACUUGAUAAUAAAGUUAUCAGAUAACAGUUAA